rnacentral:rRNA from 1 species
CUGUACCACCUAUAAUCGUUUUAAUCGAUGGGGGGACGCAGUAGGAUAGGCGAAGCGUGCGAUUGGAUUGCACGUCUAAGCAGUAAGGCUGAGUAUUAGGCAAAUCCGGUACUCGUUAAGGCUGAGCUGUGAUGGGGAGAAGACAUUGAGUCUUCGAGUCGUUGAUUUCACACUGCCGAGAAAAGCCUCUAGAUAGAAAAUAGGUGCCCGUACCGCAAACCGACACAGGUAGUCAAGAUGAGAAUUCUAAGGUGAGCGAGCGAACUCUCGUUAAGGAACUCGGCAAAAUGACCCCGUAACUUCGGGAGAAGGGGUGCUCUUUAGGGUUAACGCCCAGAAGAGCCGCAGUGAAUAGGCCCAAGCGACUGUUUAUCAAAAACACAGGUCUCUGCUAAACCGUAAGGUGAUGUAUAGGGGCUGACGCCUGCCCGGUGCUGGAAGGUUAAGAGGAGUGGUUAGCUUCUGCGAAGCUACGAAUCGAAGCCCCAGUAAACGGCGGCCGUAACUAUAACGGUCCUAAGGUAGCGAAAUUCCUUGUCGGGUAAGUUCCGACCCGCACGAAAGGCGUAACGAUUUGGGCACUGUCUCAACGAGAGACUCGGUGAAAUCAUAGUACCUGUGAAGAUGCAGGUUACCCGCGACAGGACGGAAAGACCCCGUGGAGCUUUACUGUAGCCUGAUAUUGAAAUUCGGCACAGCUUGUACAGGAUAGGUAGGAGCCUUUGAAACGUGAGCGCUAGCUUACGUGGAGGCGCUGGUGGGAUACUACCCUAGCUGUGUUGGCUUUCUAACCCGCACCACUUAUCGUGGUGGGAGACAGUGUCAAGCGGGCAGUUUGACUGGGGCGGUCGCCUCCUAAAAAGGUACGGAGGCGCUCAAAGGUUCCCUCAGAAUGGUUGGAAAUCAUUCAUAGAGUGUAAAGGCAUAAGGGAGCUUGACUGCGAGACCUACAAGUCGAGCAGGGUCGAAAGACGGACUUAGUGAUCCGGUGGUUCCGCAUGGAAGGGCCAUCGCUCAACGGAUAAAAGCUACCCCGGGGAUAACAGGCUUAUCUCCCCCAAGAGUUCACAUCGACGGGGAGGUUUGGCACCUCGAUGUCGGCUCAUCGCAUCCUGGGGCUGUAGUCGGUCCCAAGGGUUGGGCUGUUCGCCCAUUAAAGCGGUACGCGAGCUGGGUUCAGAACGUCGUGAGACAGUUCGGUCCCUAUCCGUCGUGGGCGUAGGAAAUUUGAGAGGAGCUGUCCUUAGUACGAGAGGACCGGGAUGGACAUACCUCUGGUGUACCAGUUGUCGUGCCAACGGCAUAGCUGGGUAGCUAUGUGUGGACGGGAUAAGUGCUGAAAGCAUCUAAGCAUGAAGCCCCCCUCAAGAUGAGAUUUCCCAACUUCGGUUAUAAGAUCCCUCAAAGAUGAUGAGGUUAAUAGGUUCGAGGUGGAAGCAUGGUGACAUGUGGAGCUGACGAAUACUAAUCGAUCGAAGACUUAAUCAA